rnacentral:lncRNA from 1 species
AUGUCUGAGGACUCCAGCAGUGAUGAGGAGUGGUGUGUGUCAGCAGACAAGCCGCCUGUUGGUGCGGACUCCAGGCAGAAGUGUUGGGAAUGUGGCAAGAUGUUCCAGCGCCUAGGAAAGCUGAUCUCACACUACAAAAGCCACGAUGUCCAGGCCACCUGCCACAUUUGCCAGGUGACUUUCCGGCGCAUGACGUCCCUCUCCACACACCUGGAUAAUGCACACUCGCCCUUCUGCAGAUUGUGCAAUAGGUGGUUCAGCAACGUGUGGGAGUUUAACAAGCACACGGCAGCACAUUAUAACAUUAAAGUGUCCCCUGGAACGCCGUCAAAUAGCUGUGUGACGCUACAUCAGGACAAGAACUGCGAAAACUCUGAUAAUGGGUUGACUGAUGACAUGGCUCUGCUCUCUCUCCCUACAUUUGCACAACCAAAGGAGGAGUACACACCUGUGGUUCAGGAUCACACAUAUAUUAGCAGCUGUGGAAAUGGGGAAGCUAUUCAGCACUUAGUUACAAAACAAAGCACUGAGACAAUGUCAGAAGCAAGGCCCCUAAAAAGAGGUGAGAUAAACCAUGAGCAACUUGAGAUAGUUGGUAAUCACAUUGACUAUAUCGUGGGGGAGAAUGAUUUUAAAGAUAUCAACGAGGGAAAUCAAACUGAUGAAGGCGAGAGCUCAGAUGACUCGAUGAGCUCUGAGGACAAUGACACGGGAAUGAGUGUGGAUGAUAGGGAUGGCAGAUCCUCACACGCGCAUGGAGAUGAACAGUUUGGAUAUGCGGGGGAGAAAAAUGACAAAGACACAUCUGAAUCUCUCCACUCUCAAUCUUCGGACUCAUCCUCAGAAGCUGACGUGCCAUCAGAAUAUGGCUUGAGCCCCUGUUCAAGUGGGUCUUCCAGUGACUCUUCGCUUGCUGCUGAGCAUCCCGACAGCGCCCCUGCAAACCCCCACAACACACUAUGCACUCUGUGUGGCAGAGGACCAUUUAGGAAUGUGAAAGUCCAUUUGCUGCACUGUCCUGGGAAACCGAAUCAGCCAGGACAGGGUUCGUCUUUUCACUGUUUAUUGUGCAAAGGGAACUUUGCCACUCUGACUCUCCUGGUUGAACACCAGAGGCGUUGGUAUUCCUGCAACUCGUGUGGCCAGGUUUUCCGUCACUGGAGCGCUUACAGGCACCACAUUUGCUCCAAGGGAAAACAGUCAAGUACUCACAGCAUUGUACUUUUUUGUUCUAAGUCAAUGCCAAAAUCAUGCAACAUAUGCAAUGCCUUUUUUUCUUCUGAGAAAAAUUUGUUAACUCAUGUGGUUACAGCUCACAGUACAAACUUCAGUACCAUUGUCUCUAAGCCACCUCCCCUGACUGAUAAGGUGGCACCAGAUGCCUCUGCCUCCAGAGGAGCCCAGUUACAGUUAGUCAAAGAUGUCCUGGUUUCCAGCAGUGCUGUGGCUUCUCAGAGCACCAUUGUCAAUGGGAAGCCCCCUGUCACUCAGUCUCUGGCCACAGUUUUGCAGUCGAGCCCUUCCUCCCCAUCCUCAUCCUCCCACCCAGGCUUGGUUCCCGUGUCAUCCACAUUAGUUAAUGGCGGGGCAACCAAUUUCACAAUUGUCCAACAGCCCUCCAUCAUCACUCAGGUCGUCCCACAGAGGAGCGCUACAAAUCCACAGGUGACUAGCCUGACGCAAAACACAAUUUUGUCCUCUCAGAAGAUAACUUCUUCCUCAUCAGCUGUCAGGCCACUUCCUCCUAUACUAAUGGCUGUUCCUACCACAAAUGUCAGAUCAGGGACAGACAGUGCCUUAUGUCAGGUGACAAACCAGCCUGCAGGACAGCUUUAUGCCCCACUAAUCUCUGUCAGUGACUCUAACAAAACUCCAGCUGUUGUAGCCGCUAACUCUGCACCUCCACUCACACCACCCGUAAAUAUUGUGGCCCUGUUUAAGAAUGACAGCCGGGAGAUGGCCCUGCAGAGGCGUAUGAACACCAGCUGGCGUUGCAAAGCCCCUUACCCCUGCAGGCAGUGUGGUGCCAUCUCACGGCAGCCAUCUCUCAUCAUCAGCCACCGCUACCUCCACCGUGGUCGCCGCUCACACCACUGCAAGUGUGGCCGUGCUUUCAAGCACCGGUUGCACCUCCUGCGGCACUGCAUGCAACAUGCAGAGGCAACCAGCUACAUCUGUGUCAGCUGUGGGGAAACUUUCACAGGAGCAAAACUCUUAGCGAAGCACAUGCAGGGCGAUUCAAGACAUACUUCUGGACGUACUUGGAAACUCAGAGCCAAAAGAAAGUGUAACAUGCCCUUUUCCUGUGACUGCGGACAGCUCUUUUUCAGGCCUUCUGCUUAUAUAUGGCACCAACUUAAAAACAGGGGAAGAGCAAAACGCCACAAAAAGUCCUGA